CCUACGGGUGGCAGCAGUGGGGGAUAUUGCACAAUGGGGGAAACCCUGAUGCAGCGACGCCGCGUGAGUGAAGAAGUAUUUCGGUAUGUAAAGCUCUAUCAGCAGGGAAGAAAAUUACAGUACCUGAGCAAGAAGCCCCGGCUAACUACGUGCCAGCAGCCGCGGGAAUGCGUAGGGGGCAAGCGUUAUCCGGAUUUACUGGGUGUAAAGGGAGCGUAGAGGGUUCUGUAAGUCUGGAGUGAAAGCCCGGGGCCCAACCCCGGGACUGCUUUGGAAACUGUGUAACUGGAGAACAGGAGGGGCAGGCGGAAUUCCUGGUGUAGCGGUGAAAUGCGUAGAUAUCAGGAGGAACACCGGCGGCGAAGGCGGCCUACUGGACUGAAACUGACGUUGAGGCUCGAAAGCGUGGGGAGCAAACAGGAUUAGAUACCCGAGUAGUC
rnacentral:rRNA from 1 species